rnacentral:rRNA from 1 species
AGUGAACGCUGGCGGUAGGCCUAACACAUGCAAGUCGAACGGCAGCACAGUAAGAGCUUGCUCUUACGGGUGGCGAGUGGCGGACGGGUGAGGAAUACAUCGGAAUCUACUUUUUCGUGGGGGAUAACGUAGGGAAACUUACGCUAAUACCGCAUACGACCUACGGGUGAAAGCAGGGGAUCUUCGGACCUUGCGCGAUUGAAUGAGCCGAUGUCGGAUUAGCUAGUUGGCGUGGUAAAGGCCCACCAAGGCGACGAUCCGUAGCUGGUCUGAGAGGAUGAUAAGCCACACUGGAACUGAGACACGGUCCAGACUCCUACGGGAGGCAGCAGUGGGGAAUAUUGGACAAUGGGCGCAAGCCUGAUCCAGCCAUACCGCGUGGGUGAAGAAGGCCUUCGGGUUGUAAAGCCCUUUUGUUGGGAAAGAAAAGCAGCAGGUUAAUACCCCGCUGUUCUGACGGUACCCAAAGAAUAAGCACCGGCUAACUUCGUG